rnacentral:rRNA from 1 species
UUAAGUGACUAAGCGUACACGGUGGAUGCCUUGGCAGUCAGAGGCGAUGAAAGACGUAGUAACUUGCGAUAAGCCCAGAUUAGGUAGUAACAACCAUUUGAGUCUGGGAUUUCUGAAUGGGGAAACCCACGUGCAUAAGCACGUAUCCUUACCUGAAUACAUAGGGUAAGGAGGCGAACCGGGGGAACUGAAACAUCUAAGUACCCCGAGGAAAAGAAAUCAACCGAGAUUCCGAAAGUAGCGGCGAGCGAAAUUGGACUAGCCCUUAAGCUUUACACGCGUUAGACGAACGGUCUGGAAAGUCCGACGAUACAGGGUGAUAGUCCCGUAGUUGACGACGUGUGUUCAGUGAAAUCGAGUAGGGCGGGACACGUGAUAUCCUGUCUGAAUAUGGGGGGACCAUCCUCCAAGGCUAAAUACUACUGACUGACCGAUAGUGAACCAGUACCGUGAGGGAAAGGCGAAAAGAACCCCUGUGAGGGGAGUGAAAUAGAACCUGAAACCGUGUACGUACAAGCAGUAGGAGCAGGCUUUGUCCUGUGACUGCGUACCUUUUGUAUAAUGGGUCAGCGACUUAUAUUCAGUGGCAAGGUUAACCAUCUAGGGGAGCCGUAGGGAAACCGAGUCUUAACUGGGCGUUCAGUCUCUGGAUAUAGACCCGAAACCAGGUGAUCUAGCCAUGGGCAGGUUGAAGGUUGAGUAACAUCAACUGGAGGACCGAACCGACUAAUGUUGAAAAAUUAGCGGAUGACUUGUGGCUAGGGGUGAAAGGCCAAUCAAACCUGGAGAUAGCUGGUUCUCCCCGAAAGCUAUUUAGGUAGCGCCUCGGACGAAUACUACUGGGGGUAGAGCACUGUUAAGGCUAGGGGGUCAUCCCGACUUACCAACCCUUUGCAAACUCCGAAUACCAGUAAGUACUAUCCGGGAGACACACGGCGGGUGCUAACGUCCGUCGUGGAGAGGGAAACAACCCAGACCGCCAGCUAAGGUCCCAAAUUACUACUAAGUGGGAAACGAUGUGGGAAGGCUCAGACAGCCAGGAUGUUGGCUUAGAAGCAGCCAUCAUUUAAAGAAAGCGUAAUAGCUCACUGGUCGAGUCGGCCUGCGCGGAAGAUGUAACGGGGCUAAGUAGUAAACCGAAGCUGCGGCAAUAUACUUUUGUAUAUUGGGUAGGGGAGCGUUCUGUAAGCGGUUGAAGGUGUGUGGUAACGCAUGCUGGACGUAUCAGAAGUGCGAAUGCUGACAUGAGUAACGAUAAAGGGGGUGAAAAACCUCCUCGCCGGAAGACCAAGGGUUCCUGUCCAACGUUAAUCGGGGCAGGGUAAGUCGACCCCUAAGGCGAGGCCGAAAGGCGUAGUCGAUGGGAAACGGGUUAAUAUUCCCGUACUUCUUACAAUUGCGAUGGGGGGACGGAGAAGGCUAGGUGGGCCUGGCGACGGUUGUCCAGGUUCAAGUGCGUAGGCUUGAGAGUUAGGUAAAUCCGGCUCUCUUUAAGGCUGAGACACGACGUCGAGCCACUACGGUGGUGAAGUCAUUGAUGCCAUGCUUCCAGGAAAAGCCUCUAAGCUUCAGAUUGUAAGGAAUCGUACCCCAAACCGACACAGGUGGUCGGGUAGAGAAUACCAAGGCGCUUGAGAGAACUCGGGUGAAGGAACUAGGCAAAAUGGUACCGUAACUUCGGGAGAAGGUACGCUCUCGACGGUGAAGUCCCUUGCGGAUGGAGCUAUUGAGAGUCGCAGAUACCAGGUGGCUGCAACUGUUUAUUAAAAACACAGCACUGUGCAAAAUCGUAAGAUGACGUAUACGGUGUGACGCCUGCCCGGUGCCGGAAGGUUAAUUGAUGGGGUUAGACUUCGGUCGAAGCUCUUGAUCGAAGCCCCGGUAAACGGCGGCCGUAACUAUAACGGUCCUAAGGUAGCGAAAUUCCUUGUCGGGUAAGUUCCGACCUGCACGAAUGGCGUAAUGAUGGCCACGCUGUCUCCACCCGAGACUCAGUGAAAUUGAAAUCGCUGUGAAGAUGCAGUGUACCCGCGGCUAGACGGAAAGACCCCGUGAACCUUUACUACAGCUUGGCACUGAACAUUGACCCUACAUGUGUAGGAUAGGUGGGAGGCUUUGAAGCACGUACGCCAGUAUGUGUGGAGCCGUCCUUGAAAUACCACCCUUGUAGUGUUGAUGUUCUAACGUCGACCCCUUAUCGGGGUUGCGGACAGUGCCUGGUGGGUAGUUUGACUGGGGCGGUCUCCUCCCAAAGAGUAACGGAGGAGCACGAAGGUGGGCUAAUCACGGUUGGACAUCGUGAGGUUAGUGCAAUGGCAUAAGCCCGCUUGACUGCGAGAAUGACAAUUCGAGCAGGUGCGAAAGCAGGUCAUAGUGAUCCGGUGGUUCUGAAUGGAAGGGCCAUCGCUCAACGGAUAAAAGGUACUCCGGGGAUAACAGGCUGAUACCGCCCAAGAGUUCAUAUCGACGGCGGUGUUUGGCACCUCGAUGUCGGCUCAUCACAUCCUGGGGCUGAAGUCGGUCCCAAGGGUAUGGCUGUUCGCCAUUUAAAGUGGUACGCGAGCUGGGUUUAGAACGUCGUGAGACAGUUCGGUCCCUAUCUGCCGUGGGCGUUGGAAGAUUGAAGGGGGCUGCUCCUAGUACGAGAGGACCGGAGUGGACGAACCUCUGGUGUUCGGGUUGUGUCGCCAGACGCAUUGCCCGGUAGCUAAGUUCGGAAUCGAUAACCGCUGAAAGCAUCUAAGCGGGAAGCGAGCCCUGAGAUGAGUCUUCCCUGAUACUUUAAGUAUCCUAAAGGGUUGUCGGAGACUACGACGUUGAUAGGUUAGGUGUGUAAGUGCUGUGAGGCAUUGAGCUAACUGAUACUAAUUGCCCGUGAGGCUUAACC